CUACGGGCGGCUGCAGUGAGGAAUAUUGCACAAUGGGGGGAACCCUGAUGCAGCAACGCCGCGUGGAGGAUGACGCAUUUCGGUGUGUAAACUCCUUUUAUAUGUCAAGAAAAUGACGGUAGCAUAUGAAUAAGCACCGGCUAACUCCGUGCCAGCAGCCGCGGUAAUACGGAGGGUGAAGCGUUACUCGGAAUCACUGGGCGUAAAGGACGCGUAGGCGGGUUGGAAAGUCAGGUGCGAAAUCCUACAGCUUAACUGUAGAACUGCACUUGAAACUUCUAAUCUAGAGUAUGGGAGGGGGAGAUGGAAUUAGUGGUGUAGGGGUAAAAUCCGUAGAUAUCACUAGGAAUACCUAAAGCGAAGGCGAUCUCCUGGAACAUUACUGACGCUAAGGCGUGAAAGCGUGGGGAGCAAACAGGAUUAGAUACCCGUGUAGUC
rnacentral:rRNA from 1 species